rnacentral:tRNA from 1 species
GGCGGCAUGGCCAAGCGGUAAGGCAAGGGACUGCAAAUCCUUUAUCCCCAGUUCAAAUCCGGGUGUCGCCU